UGACCAGUUUUAUCGGAAACGAUGUACACCCAAUGACAUCAAUCCCCUCCUCUCUUCUUAUUCAGCUCAGAGAAUUCAACACUCAAAACCAAGAGGCCACCAUGUGGAUUGGAGCACUACAACGGAAGCUCACAACUCUAGCAGAACAAACCAAUGCUGAGGACAGACUUCACAGUGCACAGACCAUCCUGAGCGUCAAACAAGAGGGAGAAGCCAAGAUGGCAGCACUUCAGAGCCGCGUCAAUGACCUGUGUGAGAAUGAGGACCUAGAGGAGAGCAGGAGAGAGGAGGUUCAGCAAAGCCUGCGGGACAAGAAAGAACAGUGGCGGUUGCUCCUUGAGUCAGCCAAACGGGCCGUGGAAGAGGGGGAGAAGCAGUGUGCUCUGGAAGGGCUCCUUAGAGACGUCCGUGCCCAGAUAAAGAGCACUACGGCCUGGCUGGAAGAUAAGCAGCAGGCCCUUCUCACCCUGGACCGGACGGAUCUAGAGAAAUCUAUGAACACUGCGCAGGUCAGGAGGGACAUGGGGUGAAAACACCUGGGCUAUGUACGAAAUUAGUCUGUCUGUGCACUUCAUUUACUGGGGGAGAACGUUAUAAUACACUUUCUUCAUGAAAUAUUGAUAAUUAAUAAUUUAUUCCAUUAUAUAAUAAAACAGAAUUAACACAUUGGUGGCCUCCAGAGGGCA
rnacentral:lncRNA from 1 species